rnacentral:rRNA from 1 species
GAUGAACGCUGGCGGCGUGCCUAAUACAUGCAAGUCGAGCGAACAGACGAGGAGCUUGCUCCUCUGACGUUAGCGGCGGACGGGUGAGUAACACGUGGAUAACCUACCUAUAAGACUGGGAUAACUUCGGGAAACCGGAGCUAAUACCGGAUAAUAUAUUGAACCGCAUGGUUCAAUAGUGAAAGACGGUUUUGCUGUCACUUAUAGAUGGAUCCGCGCCGCAUUAGCUAGUUGGUAAGGUAACGGCUUACCAAGGCAACGAUGCGUAGCCGACCUGAGAGGGUGAUCGGCCACACUGGAACUGAGACACGGUCCAGACUCCUACGGGAGGCAGCAGUAGGGAAUCUUCCGAAAUGGGCGAAAGCCUGACGGAGCAACGCCGCGUGAAUGAUGAAGGUCUUCGGAUCGUAAAACUCUGUUAUUAGGGAAGAACAAAUGUGUAAGUAACUAUGCACGUCUUGACGGUACCUAAACAGAAAGCCACGGCUAACUACGUG